UGAGGAAUAUUGGACAAUGGGCGCAAGCCUGAUCCAGCCAUGCCGCGUGCAGGAAGAAGCAUCUAUGGUGUGUAAACUGCUUUUGUACGGGAAGAAACACUCCUUCGUGAAGGAGCUUGACGGUACCGUAAGAAUAAGGAUCGGCUAACUCCGUGCCAGCAGCCGCGGUAAUACGGAGGAUCCAAGCGUUAUCCGGAAUCAUUGGGUUUAAAGGGUCCGUAGGCGGUUUAGUAAGUCAGUGGUGAAAGCCCAUCGCUCAACGAUGGAACGGCCAUUGAUACUGCUAGACUUGAAUUACAAGGAAGUAACUAGAAUAUGUAGUGUAGCGGUGAAAUGCUUAGAUAUUACAUGGAAUACCAAUUGCGAAGGCAGGUUACUACUUGUGGAUUGACGCUGAUGCACGAAAGCGUGGGGAGCAAACA
rnacentral:rRNA from 1 species